rnacentral:rRNA from 1 species
UACGUAGGUGGCAAGCGUUGUCCGGAUUUACUGGGCGUAAAGAGCGCGCAGGCGGUCGUUCAAGUCGCGUGUGAAAGCCCCCGGCUCAACUGGGGAGGGUCACGCGAUACUGAGCGACUCGAAGGCAGGAGAGGGUAGUGGAAUUCCCGGUGUAGUGGUGAAAUGCGUAGAUAUCAAGCGGAACACCGGUGGCGAAGGCGGCCUUCUGGACGAUGACUGACGCUGAAGCGCGAAAGCGUGGGGAGCAAACAGG